AUAAUAGUGCAUGUUCAGCAAUCCUCGGGUUUUACCGCCGCAUACUACGAAAACUCUGAGCAUGCGCACUUUUACCGCCUGAAUUUUGAAAACAGUGAUAAAAGUUGCAGUGAAAUCUAUCUCGAUUCAGAUUCCAGAACAAAGAAAAAGAAUCUUGUAUAAAAAUUCACAGAUCCAAUGUGUGAUCAUGUGUCUGAGGUUGUGGAAUGCACAAGAUGGACCAAGAUAUAAAAAGAGACUGGAAACCAACACAAGACCAGCUGAUGAGAGGGCAGAAAACCAAAACUUUGAAUGCCACGUAUACAACCGACACAAGACUAGAAUUUGGAAUAAAAUUUCAAAAAAUCAGAAACAUACUAUUAUUUUAUUAUUGGUUCAUGUACAUAAGAAAAAAGAAGUCCUAACUUUUGGAUAGGUCUUUCUCUGGUAUGUCAAUGGAAAAAAGCAAUAGUUGGUUUGAUUGAAUUUCAGUUAUUUUCUUCAUUGUGGGAUAUUUUUAGAAGUGUGUAUAAGUUGGUCGUGUGGUCUAGUGGUAUGGCUGCUGUGCAGGCGAUUUGGUGUCACGAUAUCAUAGUAGCAUGAGUUUGAAUCUCGGCGAGGGAAGAACAAAAAAUUUGUGAAAGCAAAUUUACAGACCUAACAUUGUUAGGUUGAUGUUUAGACGAGUUGUAUAAGUUGUGUAGAAAUAUAUAUUUGA